UGUGGCUGUAAUAGAAAUGAUUCUUGCUUC
rnacentral:piRNA from 1 species